UGGCAUGCAGCCCCCAGUCCCCCCCUCCAGCUUUCCUUGAGAGGGAGCGCAGCUCCUCCCACUUGCCUCUUCACCAGCUAAGCCAUCCCCUCAGUCCCUAGUAUUAGAGUUUUAAAAAAGUUGUUUUCACCAAUUCUGUUUUUUCCAAAUAACUUUUUUUUUUUACAUUAUAGACAUGGAGAUUUCCAAAAUGACAGGAUCGUGUUUUUAAAAAAAAUUGUUAGUACUUUAGCACGCAAAUGGAACAGUGGUUCUUUUAGCGUGGUUCUGAGUACGGUUCUGUCAGGUUUUCUGGGUAAGUUUUUGUUAAAUGGCAGCUGUGUGCCUUGGGACUGACUGUUCCCUGCAACCAUUUAGAAACUCACCAUGGGGCUGGAGAGAUGGCUCAGCGGUUAAAGGCACUGGCUGCUCUUCCAGAGGUCCUGAGUUCAAAUCCCAGCAACCAGAUGGUGGCUCACAACCAUCUGUAAUGGGAUCUGAUGCCCUCUUCUGGUGUGUCUGAAGACAGUGACAGUGUACUUGGAUUAAAUAAAUAAAUAGAUAAAUCUUAAAAAAUAAACAAACAAACAAAAAUCAAAACAAAACUUUAGAAACAUGAACCAGCAGAGAGAAUUUUCUCUCCUGGGGAUGUUGCCAAGGCUUAAACUCCACCCAGAAUCAAGCCCUGCCCAUCUAGCAAAAUUUCUGCAGACACACCCCAGAAAUCGGCAUUCUAAGGAGAACCGGGUGACUCCCAC
rnacentral:lncRNA from 1 species